rfam:Exophiala xenobiotica strain CBS 118157 unplaced genomic scaffold supercont1.4, whole genome shotgun sequence.
GCAAUCCACCAUAGGACUCGGAAAACAGGGCUUCCCGUUCGCUCAGCCGUACUUAAGCCGAGUGCCGGUGAGUUAGUAGUUGCGUCGGUGACGAGCAGCGAAUCCUCACUGUGGAUUGUG